GGAAGGUACAGCACACAGCUCUACACAUAGAGUGUCCAGCUCUCCUGGUGCUGCAGCAUUCUGUCCCUCAACAGCAGACACAAUAGAUAUAUGAAACCCAGCCUUCUGAAUGAUUCUUCCCUUAUGUUGGGGGAAAAGCCACCAAAGAAAUCAUACAUUUGCUAGUAGAGACUGGGCCGUUGCUCACUGCAGUCACUACCGGGAGCUGACAAAUGCAUUACAUUGUAAUACUCAACACUCAGAGGGAAUUGCCCCACUUUUGCCAAGAUCCCCAUAAAAAAGCCAGAUAAGAAAUACACAAGUGUUCUGAGUGUGACUAAAAGGCACUCAUACCAGUGAAUUGUAAAAGUCUGAAAGUGCUAUGCAUCCUUUCAACUGGGGUACAUCUUUCAUUACCCUGAACAGUCAGAAGUCUCAUCUAGGAAUCAACAGCAAAGACACAACUCCUGUGAGGUGGAUAAAGGACUAACAUCAGAAGAAGUCUUCAGCCAAAUAUGAUGACUUGGGCCCAGACAGUUUCAGCUGAGCAGAAAGACAGUGAUCUGGAACAAGAAAUGGAACCAGGCUGGACCACCAAGCUUGGAGUAUGCUGGUAAACCACAGCCAGAACUGGAUCAGACAGAGGAUGCCAGGCUACAGUUAAGAGAGAGGCACCAAUAGGUGUGCUUAGGAUAGUCUGCCUUCAGAAGAUGUGAAACAACAGCAGAUCGGUCUCUGUAUAUCUAAGGACUUUAUUCACUGUUCUUAAAAUGAUAUAUAAACCAUGUCUACCCAAACCCUGCCUACCCAUUUCUAACUUAUUCUUUUUAUAAUGGAAGGAACCUGAAGAGAAAAAUUAGCUGUAUUAGAUAUACCUGUCUACCAAACAGACAAAAUAGCAAAAUUCACAAGUACUGGUUUUAUUACUGGUUUUUGCUCUUCUCUGUCUGUGCAUUAGCUGUCCUGCUUUUCCAGCAAUAGAGAUAUAGUGUGUAUCCUGGAGAACAGCCAUCUACCUGUUAUCUAUGAACACUCUGAAAAAAAUACAGAAGCAGUGGGUCAUUUUGAGCCUUUCUCCACCAGUUCUAGAUCUCACCCUUUACCAUCCUAUGAUAUACCUCAGAGAACUUGCUAUCUCCGUGUCACCCGGAGGACACAUCUUUGCAUAGCUUCAUUUCCAUCCCCCACCUCCCCCACCCUGCAUUUUUUUUAUUUUGAAAAAAGAAAAAAUAUUUGUGAUCUUUUUUGGAGCUCAGCUUGCAUCUAGUACUCAUUUCCCCAAAGCAGAACUCAGUUUUCAUAGGUAAAUAAACCUACACUUUCAAUUAGAGCAUCAUUUUGUUGAAGGCAUGGUAAACCAAGGUGGGGACAGGGGAAAUUUUGCCACAAUAUGUUUUUAUGUUUUGAAAAAACAUACACAAAACUGGCAUAUGCUUCUAAGCAGAAUUUGUCUCAAAAGAAAAAUACUGUGUUUGUUAUUAAAGUCUGGGGAUUUGCAGCCCUAACCACAUCAUCAAAGUCUUACGGAGUCCAACAUCAUGAAAAGAUGUAUCAGCUAGAGACAGAGAACAUCCUUACAGACAUGCAAUAAGAAAAUGUGAUUGAAACACAGGAAACACAAAGCAGGCAGAAAGUGGCUGCUUUGAAAGAACAGAUCCCACUGAAGGCUGUGCAGCUCUUCUCACUCUACAGAGCUGCAGUUACAUAGGAUGGGAGGGAGAGGGAUAAUGUACUCAUCAGUGAGUUAGGGCAAUGCCAACUCAAAAAGACAGGUAUUUUUAAUUCUGAAAUAGUUGUAAACUGGGUAACAAAAGCUAUGGUGUAGCUUUAUGAAGACUAGCUAAGUGCAAAAUAUCAGGCCAUCUUGAAAUGAAGAGAAAUUGUCUUUAUUCUUUUCAGCCAAACCAAAUUUCACUCUGGUGUACUGAAAAAUUCCUUUUCCAGUCUUGCAUCUAUGAUUUUUUUUUUUUCUAGUCCAGUUGUGGUUUGGAACAAUUAUUCCUUUGUCUUUUGUCUGGCAAUUACUUGCAUUUUGCCAGCAAUGUUAUAUUUACUGCAAUUAAAGAGCUCGAUACCUUUGCUGCCAUUCUACUAUGAAGACAUUUUUUUCCACCAAAGCUUUUGCCUGGACUCAUCUAUCAACUAUCUCUCAUCCAGGCACCUAGAUCAGUGUUUCCCUGGUGUUUUCUGAGUAAAAAAGAGCUUCUUCUCAGGCGCUCUGUUUGUCUAUCUUGCCGCAAGUGGGAAGGUGAGUGGGAGGUAUGUCCUCAGCCAUCCCAGCCCUCUCAGAUGAAGCUGUCUACAGGCUAUAUAACAUCACUAUGUAAUUUACCUUUUAGCAAUAAUUUUAAUUUGGAUGAAGUUCAUAUUUCUCAUGAGUUAUUAGCUGACUUCAAAAGCAAUAGCUUCACAGUCCCCUCAAGACAUAAGGACUGUUACACAAUUACAGAAGCUAUCACAGAGGACACAAGGUAUUUAACAAGUGGCAUAUCCUAAGGGUUUUUUAACAUAAUUUUUCUUCAGUGAGGAUAAAUCUUGACUGUGAGUAAUUCACAGUCAAUAUGUCCUUAGGAAUAAAUAGUUUCUUCUUUUCAUAGGCAGAGGAGGCUAUGGAAGGGGUUAACAGUAAUCAGCAAAAAACUGUUCCAUAAGGGAGAGAUUGUAAACACUAAGAACUUCUUCCAUUUCUUUCCCUACUGUAGUUACUCCUUGUUUCAAGAGAGCAGUUUGGCAAUCCUGAAAUUUUAGCCUUUAUUUCUAGUGAUAAAUCAGAGAACCGUCCCCUUACCUUGACAGUUACUAUACAAAAUCUCUUUCUUGCAAGUUUUUAAGUGGUCCAGUGUAUGAAAUCUAAGAAAUUGCAGAACACAUAAAUUUAAGGUUUUUAUACUCAAGUCAAUGACUUGCAUUCAACAUUAUGCAGACAGGAUACUGAAAUGUAAAGAUUGAAGGUAACAGAGCCAUAGUAAAAAUUAUUUUCAUUUUUCCUUCUUCUGCCUGAGACAGUGUAGAGACAUUUACAUCUACUGUGACAAAAACACUUUUAAAUAUCUAAUUGAAAGAUAAGAAAUAAUUCAGACAUAAACAUUAUUCGUGCAUGGAUUUGCAAGUGAAGUAUCAGUGCUCUGAUCCACAUUUAUUAAAGAAGCCACAGAAUUUCCCUGUUGCAGAGGCCAGAAACUGCUCAGACCUAAAAAUGAUGGUAACAAAGGAUUAGCAGUCAAUAUAGGCUUUCAGUGAGUUGUGUUCACAUUGCACUUUCCAAAUGAGAACUCAGAGCACUAGAAGAGCAACAUAUGUCCUUCCCAGUAUACUGUGUCCCUAAAAUAUUAGUGUGAUGACUUGGAUAAUCCACCUGUGGAAAUAAACAAGAGUUUGUUUCCAAAACUGAUGGAGGAGUUUGCUGGGUAUGUGAGUCCUCACAGGCAGUAAACAUUUUAUUACUAAUAUCUCACUCUUCAUUGCACCUGAAUUUCUAUCUAUUAACAGUUGGAUAUUCAUUAUAUAAAUCUGAAUGGUGGCUCUGUUCUCUGCAUUUCACUUUUCUUUUUAAUUGGCUGAAUUGAAUUGAAUUGGCAACAUAAUCCUGGAACAAUCUACCAACACUUCAAUGACUCCUGGGAAAUUUUUUUAAUGUAAGAAAAAAGUGAUUUCACAUCCAUUACACAUGCCGUAGUAAUAUCCAUUAAAAAAAAUCUCAUUGCUUGAGGAAAGUGUGGAAACAUGGAAACUUUGUUGGAAUAAUCCAUUUACACAAAUAAAGAUAAAUGUAUCUG